AUUGAACGCUGGCGGCAGGCCUAACACAUGCAAGUCGAACGAGUGGCGGACGGGUGAGUAAUGUCUGGGAAACUGCCUGGUGGAGGGGGAUCACUAGUGGAAACGGUAGCUAAUACCGCAUACCCUCGGAUGUGCCCAUAUGGGAUUAGCUAGUAGGUGGGGGAAAGGCUCACCUAGGCGACGAUCCCUAGCUGGUCUGAGAGGAUGACCAGCCACACUGGAACUGAGACACGGUCCAGACUCCUACGGGAGGCAGCAGUGGGGAAUAUUGCACAAUGGGCGCAAGCCUGAUGCAGCCAUGCCGCGUGUAUGAAGAAGGCCUUCGGGUUGUAAAGUACUUUCAGCGGGGAGGCGUUACCCGCAGAAGAAGCACCGGCUAACUCCGUGCCAGCCGCCGCGGUAAUUC
rnacentral:rRNA from 1 species